GACUCUCGGCAACGAAUAUCUCGGCUCUCGCAUCGAUGAAGAACGCAGCAAAAUGCGAUACUUGGUGUGAAUUGCAGAAUCCCGUGAAUCAUCGAGUUUUUGAACGCAAGUUGCGCCCGAAGCCUUUCGGCCGAGGGCACGCCUGCCUGGGUGUCA
rnacentral:rRNA from 1 species